GACGAACGCUGGCGGCGUGCUUAACACAUGCAAGUCGAGCGGUAAGGCCCUUUCGGGGGUACACGAGCGGCGAACGGGUGAGUAACACGUGGGUGACCUGCCCUCAGCUCUGGGAUAAGCCUGGGAAACUGGGUCUAAUACUGGAUAUGACUCCACGGUGCAUGUCGUGGGGUGGAAAGCCUUGUGCGGCUGAGGAUGGGCCCGCGGCCUAUCAGCUUGUUGGUGGGGUGANGGCCUACCAAGGCGACGACGGGUAGCCGGCCUGAGAGGGCGACCGGCCACACUGGGACUGAGACACGGCCCAGACUCCUACGGGAGGCAGCAGUGGGGAAUCUUGCGCAAUGGGCGAAAGCCUGACGCAGCGACGCCGCGUGAGGGAU
rnacentral:rRNA from 1 species